rnacentral:rRNA from 1 species
GAUCCUGGCUCAGGAUGAACGCUAGCUACAGGCUUAACACAUGCAAGUCGAGGGGCAGCAUGGUCUUAGCUUGCUAAGGCCGAUGGCGACCGGCGCACGGGUGAGUAACACGUAUCCAACCUGCCGUCUACUCUUGGACAGCCUUCUGAAAGGAAGAUUAAUACAAGAUGGCAUCAUGAGUUCACAUGUUCACAUGAUUAAAGGUAUUCCGGGUAGACGAGUGGGG